UACGUAGGCAGCAAGCGUUGUUCGGAAUUACUGGGCGUAAAGAGUGUGUAGGCGGUGCUCUAAGUUCGGUGUGAAAUCUCCCGGCUCAACUGGGAGGGUGCGCCGGAAACUGGGGGUGCUGGAGCGCGGGGAGAGGAAAGCGGAAUUCCUGGUGUAGCGGUGAAAUGCGUAGAUAUCGGGAGGAACACCAGUGGCGAAGGCGGCUUUCUGGCCUGCCUCUGACGCUGAGGCGCGAAAGCUAGGGUAGCAAACGGG
rnacentral:rRNA from 1 species